rnacentral:rRNA from 1 species
CCUACGGGAGGCAGCAGUGGGGAAUAUUGGGCAAUGGGCGCAAGCCUGACCCAGCAAUGCCGCGUGAAGGAAGAAGGCUUUCGGGUUGUAAACUUCUUUGACAGGGGAAGAGCAGAAGACGGUACCCUGAAAACAAACCAUGGCUAAACACGUGCCAGCAGCCGCGGUAAUACGUAGGUGGCAAGCGUUGUCCGGAAUUACUGGGUGGAAAGGGCGUGUAGCCGGGAAUGAAAGUCAGAUGUGAAAUCAGGAGGCUCAACCUCCGAAUUGCAUUUGAAACUGUUUUUCUGGAGUACUGGAGAGGUAGACGGAAUUCCUUGUGUAGCGGUGAAAUGCGUAGAUAUAAGGAAGAACACCAGUGGCGAAGGCGGUCUGCUGGACAGCAACGGACGGUGAGGCGCGAAAGCGUGGGGAGCAAACAGGAUUAGAUACCCGGGUAGUC